GCCCAUUAAAGCGGUACGCGAGCUGGGUUCAGAACGUCGUGAGACAGUUCGGUCCCUAUCCGUCGUGGGCGUAGGAAAUUUGAGAGGAGCUGUCCUUAGUACGAGAGGACCGGGAUGGACAUACCUCUGGUGUACCAGUUGUCGUGCCAACGGCAUAGCUGGGUAGCUAUGUGUGGACGGGAUAAGUGCUGAAAGCAUCUAAGCAUGAAGCCCCCCUCAAGAUGAGAUUUCCCAACUUCGGUUAUAAGAUCCCUCAAAGAUGAUGAGGUUAAUAGGUUCGAGGUGGAAGCAUGGUGACAUGUGGAGCUGACGAAUACUAAUCGAUCGAAGACUUAAUCAA
rnacentral:rRNA from 1 species